rnacentral:misc_RNA from 1 species
CAAGCCGUUUCCGUACAACCCCAUUUUGACCUGAACCAGAACUGAACUCCUCAUCAUCAGAAGAUGAAGAGCCGUAGAACCGGUCAAACAAUUUCGGAGUUCGCUCCGUCUCAUCGAAGCUAAAUUUCCUACCGGAACUUCCGACUCUAUUGACAUCUCCGGCGCCGGCGACGUCGUCGGAAUCGGAGUCGGAGUUGAAAACGAAUUUUUCACUGUAGCAGUGGUAAUUCCGGGGACGACGGCGAUUUUCUAGCUUCUAGUUCAAAUA